UGCCAGCAGCCGCGGUAAUACGAAGGGACCUAGCGUAGUUCGGAAUUACUGGGCUUAAAGAGCUCGUAGGUGGUUGAAAAAGUUGGUGGUGAAAUCCCAGAGCUUAACCUUGGAACUGCCAUCAAAACUUUUUAGCUAGAGUGUGAUAGAGGUAAGUGGAAUUUCUAGUGUAGAGGUGAAAUUCGUAGAUAUUAGAAAGAACACCAAAUGCGAAGGCAACUUACUGGGCUAUUACUGACACUCAGAGACGAAAGCUAGGGUAGCAAAAGGGAUUAGAUA
rnacentral:rRNA from 1 species